CCUCAGUAACGGCGAGUGAAGCGGCAACAGCUCAAAUUUGAAAUCUGGCCCCAGGCCCGAGUUGUAAUUUGCAGAGGAUGCUUUUGGUGAGGUGCCUUCCGAGUUCCCUGGAACGGGACGCCAUAGAGGGUGAGAGCCCCGUCUGGUCGGACACCGAGCCUCUGUAAAGCUCCUUCGACGAGUCGAGUAGUUUGGGAAUGCUGCUCUAAAUGGGAGGUAUAUGUCUUCUAAAGCUAAAUAUUGGCCAGAGACCGAUAGCGCACAAGUAGAGUGAUCGAAAGAUGAAAAGCACUUUGAAAAGAGAGUUAAAUAGCACGUGAAAUUGUUGAAAGGGAAGCGUUUAUGACCAGACUUGGCCCGGUUGAUCAUCCAGCGUUCUCGCUGGUGCACUCUGCCGGUCCAGGCCAGCAUCAGUUCGUCGCGGGGGAUAAAGGUUUCGGGAAUGUGGCUCCUCCGGGAGUGUUAUAGCCCGUUGCGUAAUACCCUGCGGUGGACUGAGGUCCGCGCUUCGGCAAGGAUGCUGGCGUAAUGGUCAUCAACGACCCGUCUUGAAACACGGACCAAGGAGUCGUCCUCGUAUGCGAGUGUUCGGGUGUAAAACCCCUACGCGUAAUGAAAGUGAACGCAGGUGAGAGCUUCGGCGCAUCAUCGACCGAUCCUGAUGUUCUCGGAUGGAUUUGAGUAAGAGCAUACGGGGCCGGACCCGAAAGAAGGUGAACUAUGCCUGUAUAGGGUGAAGCCAGAGGAAACUCUGGUGGAGGCUCGCAGCGGUUCUGACGUGCAAAUCGAUCGUCAAAUAUGGGCAUGGGGGCGAAAGAC
rnacentral:rRNA from 1 species